UACGUAGGUGGCAAGCGUUGUCCGGAUUUACUGGGCGUAAAGAGCGCGCAGGCGGUCGUUCAAGUCGCGUGUGAAAGCCCCCGGCUCAACUGGGGAGGGUCACGCGAUACUGAUCGACUCGAAGGCAGGAGAGGGUAGUGGAAUUCCCGGUGUAGUGGUGAAAUGCGUAGAUAUCGAGAGGAACACCAGUGGCGAAGGCGACUUCCUGGCCUGUUCUUGACGCUGAGGCGCGAAAGCUAGGGGAGCAAACGGG
rnacentral:rRNA from 1 species